rnacentral:rRNA from 1 species
GACGAACGCUGGCGGCGCGCCUAACACAUGCAAGUCGAACGAGCGAGAGAGAGCUUGCUUUCUUGAGCGAGUGGCGAACGGGUGAGUAACGCGUGAGGAACCUGCCUCAAAGAGGGGGACAACAGUUGGAAACGACUGCUAAUACUGCAUAAGCCCACGACCCGGCAUCGGGUUGAGGGAAAAGGAGCAAUCCGCUUUGAGAUGGCCUCGCGUCCGAUUAGCUAGUUGGUGAGGUCACGGCCCACCAAGGCGACGAUCGGUAGCCGGACUGAGAGGUUGAACGGCCACAUUGGGACUGAGACACGGCCCAGACUCCUACGGGAGGCAGCAGUGGGGAAUAUUGCACAAUGGGGGAAACCCUGAUGCAGCGACGCCGCGUGGAGGAAGAAGGUCUUCGGAUUGUAAACUCCUGUUGUUGAGGAAGAUAAUGACGGUACUCAACAAGGAAGUGACGGCUAACUACGUG